rnacentral:lncRNA from 1 species
GUUUAAGGUCUGGUAUUGUGAUGCCUCCUGCUUCACUUUUCUUACUAAGGAUUGCUUUAGCUAUUCUGGGUCUCUUUUUUUUUUUCCAAAUACAUUUCAUGAUUGCUUUUUUUACUUCUAUGAAAAAUGUCAUUGGGAUUUUAAGAGGAAUUGCAUUAAAUCUGUAUAAGGUUUUUGGUAGUAUGGCCAUUUUGACAAUAUUAAUUCUGCCUAUCUAGGAGCAUGGGAGAUAUUUCCAUCUUCUGAGGUUUUCUUCUUUCUCUCUUUAGUGUUCUGUAGUUUUCAUUGUAGAGGUCUUUUACUUCUUUUGUUAGAUUGACUCCCAGGUUUGUUUGUUUGUUUGUUUGUUUGUUUUGAGGCUAUUGUGAACAAAGUAGUUUUCCUAAUUUCUCUUUCAGUGGAUUCUUCACUGAUGUAUAGGAAUGCAUUUGAUUUAUAGGUGUUGGUUUUUAUAUCCUGCUACUUUGCUGAAUUCAUUUAUUAGUUCUAGAAGUUUUCUGGUGGGAUGUUUUUUUGGAUCUUCUAGGUAUAGAAUCAUGUCAUCAGCAAAUAGUGAUAGUUUGAGUUCUUCUUUACCCCAAAUUUAUAUCCCUUUAAUCUCUUUCCUUUGUCUAAUUGCUGUGGCUAGAGUUUCAAGGAUGAUGUUGAAUAGAAGUGGUGAAAGAGGACAUCCUUGACUUGUUCCAGUUUUUAGUGGGAAUGCUUUCAAUUUUCUCCAUUUAGAAUGAUGCUGGCCUUGGGUUGAGCAUACAUAGCUUUUAUAAUGUUGAGCUAUGUUCCUAC